rnacentral:rRNA from 1 species
CAGCAGCCACGGUAAUACGUAGGUGGCAAGCGUUGUCCGGAAUUAUUGGGCGUAAAGGGUGCGUAGGCGGUUUGGCAAGUCUUGUGUGAAAUCUUCGGGCUCAACCCGAAGCCUGCACGAGAAACUACCGGGCUUGAGUAUUGGAGAGGUGAGUGGAAUUUCCGGUGUAGCGGUGAAAUGCGUAGAUAUCGGAAGGAACACCUGUGGCGAAAGCGGCUCACUGGACAAUAACUGACGCUGAUGCACGAAAGCUAGGGGAGCAAACAGGAUUAGAGACCCCAGUAGUCCCUGUCUCUUAUAC